rnacentral:rRNA from 1 species
GACGAACGCUGGCGGCGUGCUUAACACAUGCAAGUCGAACGGAAAGGCCCUGCUUUUGUGGGGUGCUCGAGUGGCGAACGGGUGAGUAACACGUGAGUAACCUGCCCUUGACUUUGGGAUAACUUCAGGAAACUGGGGCUAAUACCGGAUAGGAGCUCCUGCUGCAUGGUGGGGGUUGGAAAGUUUCGGCGGUUGGGGAUGGACUCGCGGCUUAUCAGCUUGUUGGUGGGGUAGCGGCUUACCAAGGCUUUGACGGGUAGCCGGCCUGAGAGGGUGACCGGCCACAUUGGGACUGAGAUACGGCCCAGACUCCUACGGGAGGCAGCAGUGGGGAAUAUUGCACAAUGGGCGGAAGCCUGAUGCAGCAACGCCGCGUGCGGGAUGACGGCCUUCGGGUUGUAACCGCUUUCGCCUGUGACGAAGCGUGAGUGACGGUAAUGGGUAAAGAAGCACCGGCUAACUACGUG